rnacentral:rRNA from 1 species
GACGAACGCUGGCGGCGUGCUUAACACAUGCAAGUCGAACGGAAAGGCCCUGCUUUUGUGGGGUGCUCGAGUGGCGAACGGGUGAGUAACACGUGAGUAACCUGCGCUUGACUUUGGGAUAACUUCAGGAAACUGGGGCUAAUACCGGAUAGGAGCUCCUGCUGCAUGGUGGGGGUUGGAAAGUUUCGGCGGUUGGGGAUGGACUCGCGGCUUAUCAGCUUGUUGGUGGGGUAGUGGCUUACCAAGGCUUUGACGGGUAGCCGGCCUGAGAGGGUGAACGGGCACAUUGGGACUAAGAUACGGCGCAGACGCCUACGGGAGGCAGCAGGGGGGAAUAUUGCACAGUGGGCGGAAGCCUGAGGCAGAAACGCCGCGGGCGGGAUGACGGCCUUCGGGGUGUAAACCGCUUUCGCCUGUGACGAAGCGUGAGUGACGGUAAUGGGUAAAGAAGCACCGGCUAACUACGUG